rnacentral:piRNA from 1 species
UUUUAUUUGAACUUCUGUUUUCCACCAG